rnacentral:rRNA from 1 species
AUUGAACGCUGGCGGCAGGCCUAACACAUGCAAGUCGAGCGGAUGAAGGGAGCUUGCGCCUGGAUUCAGCGGCGGACGGGUGAGUAAUGCCUAGGAAUCUGCCUGGUAGUGGGGGAUAACGUCCGGAAACGGGCGCUAAUACCGCAUACGUUCUGAGGUAGAAAGUGGGGGAUCUUCGGACCUCACGCUAUCAGAUGAGCCUAGGUCGGAUUAGCGAGUUGGUGGGGUAAAGGCCUACCAAGGCGACGAUCCGGAACUGGUCUGAGAGGAUGAUCAGUCACCCUGGGAAUGGGACACGGUCCCGGCUCCUACGGGAGGCAGCAGUGGGGGAUAUUGGCCAAUGGGCGGAAGGCUGAUCCGGCCAUGCCGCGUGUGUGAAGAAGGUCUUCGGAUUGUAAAGCACUUUAAGUUGGGAGGAAGGGAAGUAAGUUAAUACCUUGCUGUUUUGACGUUACCAACAGCAUAAGCACCCGCUUACUUCGUGC